rnacentral:rRNA from 1 species
AGAGCGAACGCUGGCGGCAGGCCUAAUACAUGCAAGUCGAACGGACCCUUCGGGGUUAGUGGCGGACGGGUGAGUAACACGUGGGAACGUGCCCUUUGGUUCGGAACAACUCAGGGAAACUUGAGCUAAUACCGAAUGUGCCCCCAUCCUUAAACAAGAUGGGUGGGAAAGAUUUAUCGCCAUUGGAGCGGCCCGCGUCUGAUUAGCUAGUUGGUGAGGUAAAGGCUCACCAAGGCGACGAUCAGUAGCUGGUCUGAGAGGAUGAUCAGCCACACUGGGACUGAGACACGGCCCAGACUCCUACGGGAGCAGCAGUAGGGAAUCUUGCGCAAUGGGCAAAAGCCUGACGCAGCCAUGCCGCGUGAAUGAUGAAGGUCUUAGGAUUGUAAAAUUCUUUCAGCGGGGACGAUAAUGACGGUACCGCAGAAGAAGCCCCGGCUAACUCGUGCCAGCAGCCGC